AUUGAACGCUGGCGGCAUGCCUUACACAUGCAAGUCGAACGGCAGCGGGGGAGAAGCUUGCUUUUCCUGCCGGCGAGUGGCGAACGGGUGAGUAAUACAUCGGAACGUGCCCUGUAGUGGGGGAUAACUAGUCGAAAGAUUAGCUAAUACCGCAUACGACCUGAGGGUGAAAGUGGGGGACCGCAAGGCCUCAUGCUAUAGGAGCGGCCGAUGUCUGAGAAGCUAGUUGGUGGGGUAAAGGCCUACCAAGGCGACGAUCAGUAGGUGGGCUGAGAGGACGACCAGCCACACUGGGACUGGGAAACGGCCCAGACUCCUACGGGAGGCAGCAGUGGGGAAUUUUGGACAAUGGGCGAAAGCCUGAUCCAGCAAUGCCGCGUGUGUGAAGAAGGCCUUCGGGUUGUAAAGCACUUUUGUCCGGAAAGAAAUGGCUCUGGUUAAUACCUGGGGUCGAUGACGGUACCGGAAGAAUAAGGACCGGCUAACUACGUGCCAGCCGCCGCCGUAA
rnacentral:rRNA from 1 species